UACAGAGGGGGCAAGCGUUGUUCGGAAUUACUGGGCGUAAGGGGCGCGUAGGUGGCCUUCUAAGUUGAACGUGAAAUCCCUGGGCUCAACCCAGGAACUGCGUCCAAGACUGGGAGGCUUGAAUCCGGGAGAGGGGUGCGGAACUCCAGGUGUAGCGGUGAAAUGCGUAGAUAUCUGGAGGAACACCGGUGGCGAAGGCGGCAUCCUGGACCGGUAUUGACACUGAGGCGCGAAAGCCAGGGGAGCAAACGGG
rnacentral:rRNA from 1 species